rnacentral:rRNA from 1 species
UACGAAGGGGGCUAGCGUUGUUCGGAAUUACUGGGCGUAAAGCGCACGUAGGCGGAUCGAUCAGUCAGGGGUGAAAUCCCAGGGCUCAACCCUGGAACUGCCUUUGAUACUGUCGAUCUGGAGUAUGGAAGAGGUGAGUGGAAUUCCGAGUGUAGAGGUGAAAUUCGUAGAUAUUCGGAGGAACACCGGUGGCGAAGGCGGGUCUCUGGGCAAUUCCUGACGCUGAGGCGCGAAAGCGUGGGGAGCAAACGGG